GACAGAGGGUGCAAACGUUGCUCGGAAUCACUGGGCGUAAAGGGCGUGUAGGCGGGAAGGUUAGUCAGAUGUGAAAUCCCCAGGCUCAACCUGGGAACUGCAUUUGAAACUCCCUUUCUUGAGUAUCGGAGAGGAAAGCGGAAUUCCUGGUGUAGAGGUGAAAUUCGUAGAUAUCAGGAGGAACACCAGUGGCGAAGGCGGCUUUCUGGACGGUUACUGACGCUGAGACGCGAAAGCGUGGGGAGCAAACAGG
rnacentral:rRNA from 1 species